rnacentral:rRNA from 1 species
AGUCACUGACAUUAGAUACCCGCGUAGUCCAGGGUGUAAACGCUGCAGACUUGGUGUUGGAAGCCCUUUGGGGGCAUUCAGUGCCGGAGAGAAGUUGUUAAGUCUGCUACUUGGGGAGUACGUCCGCAAGGAUGAAACUUAAAGGAAUUGGCGGGGGAGCACCGCAACGGGAGGAGCGUGCGGUUUAAUUGGAUUCAACACCGUAAAACUCACCAGGGAAGACUGUUACAUGAAGGCCGAGAUGAAGACUCUGCUAGAUUUUCAG